rnacentral:rRNA from 1 species
CCUGAUAUUAUAUAUUAAAGGGCUGCAGUAUAUUGACUGUACAAAGGUAGCAUAAUCAAUAGUCUUUUAAUUGAAGACUUGUAUGAAAGAUUGGAUGAAAUAUAAACUGUCUUUAUUUUAAAUAAAAAAUUUAAUUUUUUAAUUAAAAAGUUAAAAUAUAUAUAAAAGACGAGAAGACCCUAUAGAGUUUUAUAUAUUAAUUUUAUUUUAAUUAUUUAUAAAUAUAUAAAUUUAAAUUAAUUUGAUAUAUUUUGUUGGGGUGAUAAAAAAAUAUAUAAAACUUUUUUUAUAAUUUAACUUAAAUAAUAGAAUAAUUGAUCCAUAAAUUAUGAUUAAAAGAAAAAAUUACCUUAGGGAUAACAGCGUAAUUUUUUUUUUUAGUACAAAUAAAAAAAAAAGUUUGCGACCUCGAUGUUGGAUUAAGAUAAAAUUUAAAUGCAAAAGUUUAAAAUUUUUGAUCUGUUCGAUCAUUAAAAUCUUACGUGAUCUGAGUUCA